ACGNGGUGGGNNGCUGACGGUAGUGUAUGAAUAAGCAUCGGCUAANUCCGUGCCAGCAGCCGCGGUAAUACGAAGAUGCAAGCGUUAUCCGGAUUCAUUGGGUUUAAAGGUGCGUAGGCCGCUUUUUAAGUCAGUGGUGAAAUCCUGCCGCUUAACGGUAGAAUUGCCAUUGAUACUGAGAAGCUUGAGUACAUUUGAGGUAAGCGGAAUGUGUAGUGUAGCGGUGAAAUGCUUAGAUAUUACACAGAACACCAAUUGCGAAGGCAGCUUACUAAACUGAUACUGACGCUGAUGCACGAAAGCGUGGGGAGCGAACAGGAUUAGAUACCCUGGUAGUCCACGCCGUAAACGAUGUUCACUCGCUGUUUGCGAUACACAGCAAGCGGCCAAGCGAAAGCAUUAAGUGAACCACCUGGGGAGUACGAUCGCAAGGUUGAAACUCAAAGGAAUUGACGGGGGCCCGCACAAGCGGAGGAACAUGUGGUUUAAUUCGAUGAUACGCGAGGAACCUUACCUGGGCUUAAAUGUAGAGCGACAGAUUGUGAAAGCAGUCCUUCUUCGGACGAUCUACAAGGUGCUGCAUGGUUGUCGUCAGCUCGUGCCGUGAGGUGUCGGGUUAAGUCCCAUAACGAGCGCAACCCUUAUCGUUAGUUGCCAGCGGGUCAAGCCGGGGACUCUAGCGAGACUGCCACCGUAAGGUGUGAGGAAGGUGGGGAUGACGUCAAAUCAGCACGGCCCUUAUGUCCAGGGCUACACACGUGUUACAAUGGCCAAUACAAAGGGCAGCUACCGGGUGACCGGAUGCUAAUCUCUAAAGUUGGUCUCAGUUCGGAUCGAAGUCUGCAACCCGACUUCGUGAAGCUGGGUUCGCUAGUAGUCGCAUAUCAGCCAUGAUGCGGUGAAUACGUUCCCGGGCCUUGUACACACCGCCCGUCAAGCCAUGGAAGCUGGGGGUACCUGAAGUCGGUGAUCCAUUCGUGGAAGCUGCCUAGGGUAAACUUAGUAACUGGGGCUAAGUCGUAACAAGGUAAC
rnacentral:rRNA from 1 species